rnacentral:rRNA from 1 species
UACGUAGGGGGCUAGCGUUGUCCGGAUUUAUUGGGCGUAAAGAGCGUGUAGGCGGCCAUGUAGGUCCGGUGUGAAAACUCGAGGCUUAACCUCGAGAUGUCAUCGGAAACCAUUUGGCUAGAGUCCGGAAGAGGAGAGUGGAAUUCCUGGUGUAGCGGUGAAAUGCGCAGAUAUCCGGAGGAACACCGGUGGCGAAGGCGGCUUCCUGGACCGACACUGACGCUGAGGCGCGAAAGCUAGGGGAGCAAACGGG